rnacentral:misc_RNA from 1 species
GUGAUAAUUUCAUAAUCAAAUGAAGUCCCUCUCUUGCAUCACGCAGCCGUUGUUCAUUUCCAGAAUGCAUAGGGCUGAUUAUGUUUCUUAGUUCAAAAGUAAUUAUCCCAUUGAAUCUGAGCACUUGGAAAGUGAUCUCGUUUCUUAGAACCAGGACGCACAAGUGGUGGUUGGAAUUUUUAACUAUAUGAUAGAGGAGAUUUUACAAGGUAAUGGAAGUUAGAAGAACCCAUAAUUUUUUUUAUAUAAGAUUUUUAAAAGUUUAUGAAAAUCUCCCAAAUUGGGAGAAAGGUUUUUUAAACUAAACGGAAAUUUUUCAAGGUAUAAAAUUUCACAGCAAAGAUGUCAACGAGUAACCAGCACCUCACCCAAAAAAAAAAAUUCUAGUAACAAUAAAACAAUGAAAUUUUCGAAACAAACCUGCAGCAACCUCGGAUCGAACUUUGGCAAUCCAAUUUGUUCA